AACAGGCAAGUUUUGUCCGUGUUUUUCCAUCUACCCCUCACCUGAUCCCUCUGCUUGCAGUUUUGAGCUUUCAGAGCUCAGGCUUCUCUUCUUCUGUCGGGGAGGUGGCUGCUCCCAGCCUGCCACAGGGGGCCCUCAAGAAAGGGGUUGGUGUGAAGAGGCGGGGCUCCUCCGUGGGCCUCCCCCAGCACCCACCCCUUCUGGGCUCAGCCUGGUGGUCUUUAAGAGAGAUCCUCGCUAACUCCCCUGCCCAUCGCAUCUGCUGGGAACCCCAGUCUCACUAUUGUCCCAGCCAUGCUGCAGGCCCCAGUGCUGCUUCUGGUGUUCCUGGCUCUUGUCACUCAAGUAUCUUCCAACAUGGAAGGCGACAGGAUGUCAAUCACCAGGGCAACUGGGUCCUCUGCUGAAAUCCCUUGUGAUCUUCCUACACAAAACAAGCAAUAUAUCCACUGGUACAAAUUCCAGGAGGGAACAGUACCCCGACGCCUUCUCUACUACGAUGUCUACUACUCAAAGGUUGUGCUGGAACCAGGAAUCAGUCCAGGGAAAUACCAUGGCUAUGAAGACACAGACAAGAUGUAUACAUUUGUAAUCUCAAAUCUUCAAGAAAGUGAUUCUGGCGUGUACCGCUGCGCUGUCUGGGAGAAGCACAUUGGUUCAGCCCUCCUUUACACUGCACUGAAAUUUUGCUUGUCACUGCCAAAAAACAGCCCGGAUACACAGGAUAGACCAACCCCGGCCUCACUUCCUGCUGUCAAUGCCAAUUCUCUUUACUCUGAACAAAGUGAAAUCCUGAGCUCAUCGCCCAUCCCCCACCUUUAA